GCCUGGUUAGCUCAAUCGGUAGAGCGUUUGACUCUUAAGAUUUUCUUCUUAUAAAGAAGUGCAAUCAAAAGGCUGCGGGUUCGAGCCCCGCAUCGGGCU
rfam:Pichia kudriavzevii strain SD108 scaffold00019, whole genome shotgun sequence.